rnacentral:rRNA from 1 species
ACUAAGCGUACACGGUGGAUGCCCUGGCAGUCAGAGGCGAUGAAGGACGUGCUAAUCUGCGAAAAGCGUCGGUAAGGUGAUAUGAACCGUUAUAACCGGCGAUGUCCGAAUGGGGAAACCCAGUGCAAUUCGUUGCACUAUCGUUAACUGAAUACAUAGGUUAACGAGGCGAACCGGGGGAACUGAAACAUCUAAGUACCCCGAGGAAAAGAAAUCAACCGAGAUUCCCCCAGUAGCGGCGAGCGAACGGGGAGCAGCCCAGAGUCUGAAUCAGCUUGUGUGUUAGUGGAACGGUCUGGAAAGUCCGACGGUACAGGGUGAUAGUCCCGUACACCAAAAUGCACAGGCUGUGAACUCGAAGAGUAGGGCGGGACACGUGGUAUCCUGUCUGAAUAUGGGGGGACCAUCCUCCAAGGCUAAAUACUCCUGACUGACCGAUAGUGAACCAGUACCGUGAGGGAAAGGCGAAAAGAACCCCGGCGAGGGGAGUGAAAAAGAACCUGAAACCGUGUACGUACAAGCAGUGGGAGCACCUUCGGGUGUGACUGCGUACCUUUUGUAUAAUGGGUCAGCGACUUAUAUUCUGUAGCAAGGUUAACCGUAUAGGGGAGCCGCAGGGAAACCGAGUCUUAACUGGGCGUUAAGUUGCAGGGUAUAGACCCGAAACCCGGUGAUCUAGCCAUGGGCAGGUUGAAGGUUGGGUAACACUAACUGGAGGACCGAACCGACUAAUGUUGAAAAAUUAGCGGAUGACUUGUGGCUGGGGGUGAAAGGCCAAUCAAACCGGGAGAUAGCUGGUUCUCCCCGAAAGCUAUUUAGGUAGCGCCUCGUGAACUCAUCUUCGGGGGUAGAGCACUGUUUCGGCUAGGGGGUCAUCCCGACUUACCAACCCGAUGCAAACUACGAAUACCGAAGAAUGUUAUCACGGGAGACACACGGCGGGUGCUAACGUCCGUCGUGAAGAGGGAAACAACCCAGACCGCCAGCUAAGGUCCCAAAGUCAUGGUUAAGUGGGAAACGAUGUGGGAAGGCACAGACAGCCAGGAUGUUGGCUUAGAAGCAGCCAUCAUUUAAAGAAAGCGUAAUAGCUCACUGGUCGAGUCGGCCUGCGCGGAAGAUGUAACGGGGCUAAACCAUGCACCGAAGCUGCGGCAGCGACACUAUGUGUUGUUGGGUAGGGGAGCGUUCUGUAAGCCUGCGAAGGUGACCUGUGAGGGUUGCUGGAGGUAUCAGAAGUGCGAAUGCUGACAUAAGUAACGAUAAAGCGGGUGAAAAGCCCGCUCGCCGGAAGACCAAGGGUUCCUGUCCAACGUUAAUCGGGGCAGGGUGAGUCGACCCCUAAGGCGAGGCCGAAAGGCGUAGUCGAUGGGAAACAGGUUAAUAUUCCUGUACUUGGUGUUACUGCGAAGGGGGGACGGAGAAGGCUAUGUUAGCCGGGCGACGGUUGUCCCGGUUUAAGCAUGUAGGCUGAUUGUCCAGGCAAAUCCGGAUAAUCAAGGCUGAGGUGUGAUGACGAGGCACUACGGUGCUGAAGUAACAAAUGCCCUGCUUCCAGGAAAAGCCUCUAAGCAUCAGGUAACAUUAAAUCGUACCCCAAACCGACACAGGUGGUCAGGUAGAGAAUACCAAGGCGCUUGAGAGAACUCGGGUGAAGGAACUAGGCAAAAUGGUGCCGUAACUUCGGGAGAAGGCACGCUGGUGUGUAGGUGAAGUCCCUGCGGAUGGAGCUGAGACCAGUCGAAGAUACCAGCUGGCUGCAACUGUUUAUUAAAAACACAGCACUGUGCAAACACGAAAGUGGACGUAUACGGUGUGACGCCUGCCCGGUGCCGGAAGGUUAAUUGAUGGGGUUAUCCGUAAGGAGAAGCUCUUGAUCGAAGCCCCGGUAAACGGCGGCCGUAACUAUAACGGUCCUAAGGUAGCGAAAUUCCUUGUCGGGUAAGUUCCGACCUGCACGAAUGGCGUAAUGAUGGCCAGGCUGUCUCCACCCGAGACUCAGUGAAAUUGAACUCGCUGUGAAGAUGCAGUGUACCCGCGGCAAGACGGAAAGACCCCGUGAACCUUUACUAUAGCUUGACACUGAACAUUGAGCCUUGAUGUGUAGGAUAGGUGGGAGGCUUUGAAGCGUGGACGCCAGUCUGCGUGGAGCCAACCUUGAAAUACCACCCUUUAAUGUUUGAUGUUCUAACGUUGGCCCCUGACCGGGGUUGCGGACAGUGUCUGGUGGGUAGUUUGACUGGGGCGGUCUCCUCCCAAAGCGUAACGGAGGAGCACGAAGGUUAGCUAAUCCUGGUCGGACAUCAGGAGGUUAGUGCAAUGGCAUAAGCUAGCUUGACUGCGAGCGUGACGGCGCGAGCAGGUGCGAAAGCAGGUCAUAGUGAUCCGGUGGUUCUGAAUGGAAGGGCCAUCGCUCAACGGAUAAAAGGUACUCCGGGGAUAACAGGCUGAUACCGCCCAAGAGUUCAUAUCGACGGCGGUGUUUGGCACCUCGAUGUCGGCUCAUCACAUCCUGGGGCUGAAGUAGGUCCCAAGGGUAUGGCUGUUCGCCAUUUAAAGUGGUACGCGAGCUGGGUUUAGAACGUCGUGAGACAGUUCGGUCCCUAUCUGCCGUGGGCGCUGGAGAAUUGAGGGGGGCUGCUCCUAGUACGAGAGGACCGGAGUGGACGCAUCACUGGUGUUCGGGUUGUCAUGCCAAUGGCACUGCCCGGUAGCUAAAUGCGGAAGAGAUAAGUGCUGAAAGCAUCUAAGCACGAAACUUGCCCCGAGAUGAGUUCUCCCUGAGACUUUAAGUCUCCUGAAGGAACGUUGAAGACGACGACGUUGAUAGGCCGGGUGUGUAAGCGCAGCGAUGCGUUGAGCUAACCGGUACUAAUGAACCGUGAGGCUUAACC